GGGACAGGGUGGGAUUGUUGGGGUGUCUGUGCAGGGCCAGGACUCGAUGGUCCCUGUGAGUCCCUUCCAGCUCAGGGUGUUCUGUGGUCCUGUGAACUCAGGAGGAGCUGGUUUUGUCUGAAGGUCUGUCUGCAGCACCUCGAUGAAUCAACUGCCCCGGCUGCUGCCUGGGACAUGCACACAACACCCUGGUCACAAGGGGGUUGAGUUGGAUUGGGAUUAGUUUUGGUGUUGUUUGUGGGCAAAUCUUGUUGUCGUAACACAUCAAAGUGGUCCUUGAAACAGACCCCUAAAAGCAACCCUCUCACACCCAUCGUUUGGAGAAAAGGGGGAAACCAGAGACAGGACGCUGACCCAGAAGCCUAUGAAUUCAUGCAGGUAACAACAGUGCUGAUGGAGCUGUUGCCCUGACACUCUUUCUGUCCAACAUUUAGUGUAGUUUCUUUCAUCUUUAAUAUACUAAUGUCAUUAAGAGUCAAAAUGUUGGGGCAGUAGAGGGUGGGAAGGAGCAAACAGUGUGGACUGGUGCUGUCAUUUCAGCUCCUGGGACAGCUCUACCCUUUCACUGUUUGUGGGCUUGUAAACUGCCAGGCAGGGAUUGCCUGAUCCCACAUACAGGAUCACAGCUGAAGUCACUUCUGCAUUACACACCCACCAGCUUUUUAUUUUUAGAAAAGGAUCUUUCCAGACUACUUGCAGAUAAGUAGCAAUUUUCCUUCUGUUGGUGACAGGGCAGUUUGGGCCAGAAGGAAACCCCUAUUAGCUGCUGUCUUCUCCUCCCAUUUGCUUUUUGAACGUUAUCAACUAUUCUGUGUCAGCUCCUCUUCCUCUCCCAAAGUCAGUACUUUUCCAUGACAGUUAUUUUUCAGGUGAGGCUGGAGCUGUUUCCUCAGCCUGCUUCAAGAUUUGAUGGUUUAAAGUGAAGGGGGAAACUCACAUAAAAAAUUAACAGCUUAAAAAUUGCAUUGUAAAGGAACUCACAGGAGGUAUAAAGAGGUGGUGAGGAGGAGAUGCAGGUGUCCUACAAACAGAAACCAGUAACAGAGUUCCUGUCCUGGGGAUGUACAGCACUGGUUUGUGAUCACUCCUUGCUUUUCUCAGUCCCCACAGGACUCCACCUUCCUCCAGGAUGGCAAGACCCCAUGAGCACCUCGUCCUGCUGGGCACUUCCCUUUGGCUCCUCUCUGACCACUUAGUGAUUUCCACAAGCUCACAGAACAUAAAAUGAUCUUUGGGACUCCCA